rnacentral:lncRNA from 1 species
GAGUGAUGUUUCUGGGACUAAUGUCAGCAUAUGUCAGCGUGGAGCAUCCAUUUACCAUCUUGUUCAGCAUCAGCAGCUACAGCAGAACCUACUUAGGCCUUAUCUAAUCAUUGUGGAGGAGCCCGGUGGUCUUCACAAGCCAGACUGAAGCACGAUGAUCUGUGUUAAACUUUGUACUCCUGGGAUAAAUUCCUCUUGGUGAUGGUUUGAGCAUGUGAUGGCUGAGUGGACUCUCAUAGGCUGGAGCUGGAGAGAAGCCCAGAGACAGAAAGCAAGAGAUAUGCAGUGCAGCUGGGGAGGUCUUGCCUUGCUACAUUUGCAUGAAGCUAUUGGCUAUAGCAAUGGCUGAAGAGAAAGCUGAGCUGAGAGGACAUAAAAUGAAGCAAGGAUGGAGAAGAGAUGGAACAAUCUUAUAUAAAUUGGCCAAAGAAGUCAUUAGACCACCUGCUCUGUGCUGCAUGCCUACCAUCAGCUCCAAUGCUCACUGCCAUUAGAGAAAAUGGACCAGAAAAGCAGUCAUGGCACCUUCAUUCAUGUCUUAAGAAAGCUUUAGGAGAGUGGUUUGAAAACUAGGCUUCUGUGAAGCACCUUUGGGUGCUGCUGAAUUGGAAGGGGGAGGAAGAAGUGGGCUGAUAGCAGAAAAGGGCCAAUGGGUGGAGUCUCAGUCCUCUGACCCACUUCAACCAGAAAAAUCUGCUUUCAUUCAUUUUGCAUAUUGAGCGUCAUUGUGAUAAUUUGGGGCUGAAAUAAAUUUGGAAGCCACAAGAGCGCAUUAAGGAAUUUCACUGGGAGAAUUGGUGAGGUCCCAAACCUGGGAUGAGUUGCCCAUCUCCCCUCUGGUUAUUAAGCUAGGCUGAUAUACAAUGUACCCGGGAAGGAAGUCACAAAUAUCAGCUUGUAUUCAAGAAAGCAUUUUGACUCAUUGUGCUCCCUCUCUAAUCCCAUUUAAUCUCAGCCUGCUUUCACUGAGUCUCUUUCUCUUGAUUCAUUCAUUCGCUAAUAUAGCAAAUAUUUCAUGAACAUAUAUGAUUUGUCAACAUUGUGCUAGACCCCUGAGAUAUGACUGAGAUAUAGUUCUUUCAUUCAAGGAACCCAAGUCUAAUGGCAAAUGAGGACAGAAAAACGAAUUAACAGACAAUUACCAUACAAUGUUAAGCAAAGAAUAAACAGUCUUGUGAGAACAUGGAGAAAAGCCUUUGAAUCUAACCCAUGUGUAAUCUAACCCAUGUGAUUAAGGGAUGGGGUCUCAGAGGAAGUGCACCAUGACAUGAAUCCUGGAGAAUGUGCUGGAGUUAGUGAAGUUCUAAACUCUUGUCUGUAACAACAUUCCCACAUUUGAAUCUUGGCUUUCUUUUUUGAAAUCUGGGUAAACUUGAUUUUCUGGGACCCAUAUGAUAUUAUUCUAGAACAUAAGAUGUCACCUUGGUCAAAUCAUUCUACUUAGAGCCAUCAGCUUCCCCAUCCAUCCUGCAUGUGGGAGUAAGGAUAAGGCUGGGAAAAAUAAACAGUGUUAUCUUGGAAUGAUCAUAGAGUGGAGUAAAUAAAACCCAUUCAGCAAACACAUUCUGGGCACCUACAAUGUUCCAAGCACAGUGGCCAGUGCUGAAUAUAGAAAUGAAAUAUCAAUUCCAUGUCCUCAAAUCAUCUACAAUCUAACUGUACAUAAGGCGAGUGGGACCAAAGCCUUAAUCAUUGCUAACUCUUCUCAACAGUACUGUUGAGUGAGUUUCACCAUGGCACUCACGAG